UCAUUACAUCCUGUCAUUUUUCCCACUCUUCUUUUUCUUCUAGUAAUAUAAAGCAUGUGUUGACCAGCCCAGGCCUGUACUGGAAUGACCUUCUGAGAUCCUAUCUGAAAGCACAUUAUGGGAUCAUUUUCCAUUUACACCAUUCUCCUCGCCAAUGAAGAAUGUGUUUUCAUUUAGCAUUGUCCAGUGGUCUCGUUCCUCAAGGUUGUGCGUGUCGGCUGUAGACUAGAGAAUCAGCUACACCAGAGGAAUGAAUAUCAGCACCAAAUCAUCUCUAAUAUGUAUUUGUCACUUUAGUGAUUAAAAGCCUGGUGAAUUCCCCCCAGCAGGAGAGGAAAGGAGAGUAUUUCUGCUAAGGCAUCAGAUAGGACUGCAUCAUGAUGAACUGCCUGUUGAAACAGCUAGAAGUCCAGGGAACACAAGACUAAUUAAACAGGAUGUUUGGGUCCUUGAAGGUGCACAAGAAGAAGAAGAAUAACAACAACAAUACUUGUGACCUGUUUAGAAAACACACUUUGAAUAUUCCGACACACUUACAAAAAACACACCCUGUUUAGAAGAGCUGAGAGCUCAGAAAACAGUGGAUUUAACUCUGAAACAUGAAAGUCAGUAGCAGAGAUGUUUGGAGAGACAGAGUGGUGCUGUCAUGCCUAUCUGUUGGUGUGUGGUCAGAUAGUAGUAGAAGUGUGUUAGUUAGGGCUUGGGUUAGAGGGCCUGUGUGUCAUAGUGAGUGGUGUGCCCUUGGUUUGACCCCUACAGCAGGUCAUGGCUCAGUAGUCAUGAGGCCUUCGAUGCCAUAGACCACCCUCCGGCCUUUAAAAGGCCGGAAGGGGAGAGGAGGGGGACAGAACAUCAAAGUGAUCUGGCCUGGCGUACUGCUUCCCUCAACAUAACACAGGAAUGAAAGAUGAUCUUGCCCGGCGUCCUGCUUCCCUCACCAUGACACAGGAAUGAAAGGUGAUCUGGCCCGGCGUCCUGCUUCCCUCACCAUGACACAGGAAUGAAAGGUGAUCUGGCCAGGCGUACUGCUUCCCUCAACAUAACACAGGAAUGAAAGGUGAUCUGGCCCGGCGUCCUGCUUCCCUCACCAUGACACAGGAAUGAAAGGUGAUCUGGCCCGGCGUCCUGCUUCCCUCACCAUGACACAGGAAUGAAAGGUGAUCUGGCCCGGCGUCCUGCUUCUCUCACCAUGACACAGGAAUGAAAGGUGAUCUGGCCCGGCGUCCGGCUUCCCUCACCAUGACACAGGAAUGAAAGGUGAUCUGGCCCGGCGUCCUGCUUCUCUCACCAUGACACAGGAAUGAAAGGUGAUCUGGCCCGGCGUCCUGCUUCUCUCACCAUGACACAGGAAUGAAAGGUGAUCUGGCCCGGCGUCCGUCUUCCCUCACCAUGACACAGGAAUGAAAGGUGAUCUGGCCCGGCGUCCUGCUUCUCUCACCAUGACACAGGAAUGAAAGGUGAUCUGGCCCGGCGUCCUGCUUCUCUCACCAUGACACAGGAAUGAAAGGUGAUCUGGCCCGGCGUCCUGCUUCUCUCACCAUGACACAGGAAUGAAAGGUGAUCUGGCCCGGCGUCCUGCUUCUCUCACCAUGACACAGGAAUGAAAGGUGAUCUGGCCCGGCGUCCUGCUUCUCUCACCAUGACACAGGAAUGAAAGGUGAUCUGGCCCGGCGUCCGUCUUCCCUCACCAUGACACAGGAAUGAAAGGUGAUCUGGCCCGGCGUCCGGCUUCCCUCACCAUGACACAGGAAUGGAGCUUCAACAUUUCCUGUCCUCAUUAAUAUAAUACAUGGCACUUGGAUAAUAAGGCACAGCAACGAAACCCCUCUACCUCUCUCCUUAUAUAUAUUUAUAUCUCUGUAUCUAUUCCCCCCCCCCCUCUCUCAAUUCAAUUCAAUUCAAGGGGCUUUAUUGGCAUGGGAAACAUGUGUUAACAUUGCCAAAGCAAGUGAGGUAGAUA